rnacentral:sRNA from 1 species
AGACUUCUCUAAUGGACUGAGAAGGUGCAUGUACAGCACUUAGCCUAGCACCCAGCGCAGCAACUCUAGACAUCGCGUCCAACAACCGUAAGGGUAUCGCCUUCGCUGACUCUGGCGCACACUGGCAGCUGCAUCGAAGGCUGGCAAUGGCCACCUUUGCCCUGUUCAAGGACGGCGAUCAGAAGCUGGAGAAGAUCAUUUGUCAGGAAAUCAGUACAUUGUGUGAUAUGCUGGCCACCCACAACGGACAGUCCAUAGACAUCUCCUUUCCUGUCUUCGUGGCGGUAACCAAUGUCAUCUCCUUGAUCUGCUUCAAUACCUCCUACAAGAAUGGGGACCCUGAGUUGAAUAUUAUACAGAAUUACAAUGAAGGCAUCAUAGACAACCUGAGCAAAGACAGCCUGGUGGACCUAGUCCCCUGGUUGAAGAUUUUCCCCAACAAAACCCUGGAAAAAUUAAAGAGCCAUGUUAAAAUACGAAAUGAUCUGCUGAAUAAAAUACUUGAAAAUUACAAGGAGAAAUUCCGGAGUGACUCUAUCACCAACAUGCUGGACACACUGAUGCAAGCCAAGAUGAACUCAGAUAAUGGCAAUGCUGGCCCAGAUCAAGACUCAGAGCUGCUUUCAGAUAACCACAUUCUCACCACCAUAGGGGACAUCUUUGGGGCUGGCGUGGAGACCACCACCUCUGUGGUUAAAUGGACCCUGGCCUUCCUGCUGCACAAUCCUCAGGUGAAGAAGAAGCUCUACGAGGAGAUUGACCAGAAUGUGGGUUUCAGCCGCACACCAACUAUCAGUGACCGUAACCGUCUCCUCCUGCUGGAGGCCACCAUCCGAGAGGUGCUUCGCCUCAGGCCCGUGGCCCCUAUGCUCAUCCCCCACAAGGCCAACGUUGACUCCAGCAUCGGUGAGUUUGCUGUGGACAAGGGCACACAAGUUAUCAUCAAUCUGUGGGCGCUGCAUCACAAUGAGAAGGAGUGGCACCAGCCGGAUCAGUUCAUGCCUGAGCGUUUCUUGAAUCCAGCGGGGACCCAGCUCAUCUCACCGUCAGUAAGCUAUUUGCCCUUCGGAGCAGGACCUCGCUCCUGUAUAGGUGAGAUCCUGGCCCGCCAGGAGCUCUUCCUCAUCAUGGCCUGGCUGCUGCAGAGGUUCGACCUGGAGGUGCCAGAUGAUGGACAGCUGCCCUCCCUGGAAGGCAUCCCCAAGGUGGUCUUUCUGAUCGACUCUUUCAAAGUGAAGAUCAAGGUGCGCCAGGCCUGGAGGGAAGCCCAGGCUGAGGGUAGCACCUAAAGGCUGUAACUCACAGCCCCUGUCCACCCUAUGUGGCCCCACAACACAGAUUUAGAGAUACAACCCCCCACCCUUCUCCGCCAUUCUUCCCUACUCC